UACGGAGGGUGCAAGCCUUGAUCGGAAUUACUGGGUGUAAAGGGCGCGUAGGCGGCAGGACAAGUCGGAUGUGAAAUUCCGGGGCUCAACCCCGGAGCUGCAUUUGAAACUAUCCAGCUAGAGGUUAGUAAGGGAAAACGGAAUUCCACGUGUAGCGGUGAAAUGCGUAGAUAUGUGGAAGAACACCGGUGGUGAAGACGGUUUUCUGUGCUAAACCUGACGCUGAGGCGCGAAAGCUAGGGGAGCAAACAGG
rnacentral:rRNA from 1 species